GGUCAAUGAUGAUUAGUAAAAGGUAUGACUGCACUGUUGUCCCCCCCCGACACUGAAAGCUCACAGCAGGUUUUUUUUUUUAUUCCCUUUUGCAUUAUGAUCAAGUUUAUACCAUAAUGCAUUCCAAAAGCUGCUGAUAUUAUUGGAUUAUUCACAUUUCCAUGUAUUCAUAAGUCUAAGGAUACAUGGAUUAAAACGCAUCCAACAUUUACCUUAAAGGUGGAGACCUAGGUCGGGGGACUGGACAAUGUACAAUACAGUUCAUGAUCAAAAGUUUUCAAGCUGAGACC